UCGAGUUUGAGAGAGAAUGCCCGCCGCAGAUAACAGUCGAGUCUACAGACAAACAAGCUUCUCUUCAGAACUUUCUGAACUCCUUCAACUCUCUAUCCCUAAACAACUUCCAUCAAACACGGCCAAUGAAUGCCUUCUUCACUUUCGUUUCAUCUGUAUCUUAUCACAUGGCUUUAGUAUCUAGUUCCCACUUCUACCCAACAACACCAACCAUUUUCAAUUCCUUUCAAAGCUCCUUCUCAAGAUUCCGCGCCAUCCACCUCAACUUCUUAAGGUAUGCUCACUCUAUUCCUCUAAAAAAUCGCUCCUUUUAUCAUAAUUUCUCUUCAGAUGCUACACCUCGACAAAACCCACCUAGGAAAUUAUAUUCUUUCUCGAAUACGGAACAUACUGAUGAAAGUUUUAGUUCUAGUGGCGAUUGGUUAGACAAUUGGAAAAAAUCCAGUGAAGAUAAUCGCCCCAAACCGCCUCGGGUUGCUUUGAAUUUUAGAAAGAAUAAUGUAAGUUUGCUAAGUUUAGGCUAUUUAAGAAGUAGAAGUGAUGGUAAUCACAGUGUUGUUGAUGAUGGUGGAGGUAGUACAAUGGGUAAGAUUGUAGAGAAAUUGAAAAAAUUUGGGUACCUAGAUGAUGUUGUAGAUGAAAAAGAGAAGAUAGAGAAAGAACAGAAGAGAGUAAUUGAAAAAGGGUCUAUAGAGGACAUAUUUUAUGUGGAAGAAGGAAUGUUGCCUAAUACACGAGGAGGGUUUUCAAAAGAAUCACCAUUAGGGUUAGGAGAGGUGGUGGAUAGUGAAGGAAAGGUGAGGUUUCCAUGGGAGAAGCCAAAGGAGAAUGUGGAGGUUGAGAAAUUGUUAGUAAGGAGGAAAGGUAGGACUUCACCAGCAGAGUUGACUAUCCCUGAGUCUGAGUUGAGGAGGUUGAGGAAUUUGACAUUUCAGACAAAGAGCAAGACAAAGAUUGGUGGUGCUGGUGUUACUCAGGCUAUAGUUGAUGUAAUUCAUGAGAAGUGGAAGACAUCAGAGAUUGUGAGGUUGAAAAUAGAAGGGCCCCCUGCAUUUGAUAUGAAAAGGAUGCAUGAGAUAUUGGAGAGAAAAACUGGUGGGUUGGUGAUAUGGAGAUCUGGCACUGCUGUUUCUUUAUAUAGAGGUGUGAGUUAUGAGGUUCCUUCUUUGCAACUGAACAAGCGGAUAUUUAGGAGACAUGAAAUACCUGCAAGUUCCUUACAAAGAGCCACUGAUAAAGAGAUAUAUAAUAUAAAUAAUAGAUCUAGUCAUUCCUUAUCAAAAGCUACUGAUAUACCUUCUCAAGAUCUGUCUUGUGGCUCUUGUAAUAUUGUGCAUUCACCUCAAACAAAUGGUGAAAUGAAUACUGAGGAGAGGGAUAUGGAAUCAGUGCCAGAAGUAAAUUGUGGAGACAAAAUAGACAACCUAUUAGAUGGUCUGGGUCCUAGGUUCAUGGAUUGGCAGGGAUGUGAACCAUAUCCUGUGGAUGCAGAUACGCUUCGUGGUAUGGUUACUGAUUACCAACCUCCAUUUAGAGUGCUUCCUUAUGGAGUGAGAUCUACGCUUGCACGAAAAGAGGCAACAAAUUUGAAAAGGCUUGCCCGUGUUCUUCCUCCACACUUUGCCAUAGGUCGAAGCAGGCAGCUCCAAGGUUUGGCUGUUGCCAUGAUUAAAUUAUGGGAAAAAAGUUCAAUUGCCAAAAUUGCUCUUAAACAUGGUGUACAGCUGACUACGAGUGAGAGAAUGGCUGAAAAUAUCAAGAAAUUGACAGGGGGCAUACUGCUCUCAAGAAAUAAGGAUUUCCUGGUCUUUUAUAGAGGAAAAGAUUUUUUAUCACCAGAUGUCACUGAACUGCUAUUGGAAAGGGAGAGAUUGUUUAAGUCUCUGCAAGAUGAAGAAGAGCAGGCUCGGUUAAGAUCAUCAGCCUUUGUCUUUCCAAGUACUGAAGUAAGUGAGGAAUCAGGUACCGCAGGCACCCUUGGGGAAAUUUUGGAUGCAAAUGCUAGAUGGGGAAAGAUGCUGGAUGACAAUCAUAAGGAAAAUGUGAUGAGAGAAGCUGAAAUAAUGAGACAUGCCAGCCUUGUCAGAAAACUGGAAAGAAAGCUUUCUAUUGCUGAUAAAAAGCUAAUGAAAGCUGAACAAGCUUUAUCAAAAGUGGAGGAGCUUUUAAAACCAACAGAAAGACAAGCAGACCCUGAGAGCAUAACUGACGAGGAAAGAUUUCUGUUUCGCAAGCUUGGUUUGAGGAUGAAGGCUUUCUUACUUUUGGGUAGAUGUGGAGGUUUUGAUGGUACAGUGGAGAAUAUGCACUUGCACUGGAAAUAUCGAGAAUUGGUUAAAAUUAUCGUUAAGGUGAAAACUUUUGAUCAGGUUAAGAGAGUUGCAUUAGCACUUGAAGCUGAAAGUGGGGGUGUCUUGGUUUCAGUUGACAAAAUCUCCAAAGGUCAUGCUAUUAUUGUAUUCAGGGGAAAGGACUAUAAGCGGCCUUCCAAAUAUAGGCCAAAAAAUCUUUUGACAAAGAGGAAAGCUUUGACACAUUUGCUCAAACUCUGAAGACAUGAGGCUCUCCUGAAGCAUCUUUCUGUCCAGGAGACUAAUGUUGGGAAACUAAGAUCUGAAAUUGAACAAAUGAACAGCGUGAAAGACCAGGGAGAUGUGGAGCUAUAUGGCAGUUUAGACUCUACUUAUAGCACCAGAGAUGAUGACGGUGAGGUAUGCUUUCCAUUUAUCUUCUAGAUCGUUUUCUACUGAUAAUUUUAAUCAUCUUGUAUCUCAUCUUAUUUCAUCCCUGUUGAGUGCUAUUACAGCAAGAAGGAGACAAUGAGUAUUUAUGAUAGUGGAAAUGACGGUGAAUAUGAAAGUGAUAACUCAAUUAACAAUCUCCUCACAGAAACAAACUUCUCUUCUCAUGAAUAAGAUCAAGAGUCUGAAACUGAACCUGGUGAUUCUGAAGAUGAAGCAGAAGCAUAUGCUUGACCAAUGAGUCUCGUUGAACCAAACUCGAACAAGGGCCAGCUUGAACUUUGCUUGAAAACAGAAUGGUCAACUUGAAUUUGACUUGACAGAGCUAGUGAUGAGUUUGCUAGAGAAGUUGUUAGAAAAGAAGAAGAGAGAUGAAAAAGAGAAGAAUUGUUGAAGAUUAAGUAAAAAAAGGUCAUUAGAGAAGAUGAAUCUGUCAGUGAUUUCUUGAUGACUCGAUUGAAUCUAGUUGGUGCGACUCGAUUGAAUCUAGUUGGUGCAACUCGAGCUUGGGUUGGGGUUACCCCUAUUUGAACUUUUGCUUAUUUAAGCUGAACAUUGAACAAAAUUGCCAACUGAGUUGGCAUGAUUUGGAAUGACACAAAAAAUACAUCCCUGGACAUGCCAUUAUCCUUUGGUUGGCUAUAAAAGGGAGGCUCAUGACUAAAGAUAAACUCCUAACCUAUGGGGUGACAAAAAUUCUACUUGUGUUCUUUGUAAUAGUUGUGAUGAAAGCAUUGACCACCUUUUUUUCCUUUGCCCCUUUAGCAGCCACAUUUGGGAAAGCAUCCUCAAGCUUAAUCUCUUGAAGUAUAGACCACAAUCUUGGGGGAAUUAUAUUGAAACUAUUGUCAAGGAAUGGAAAGGUGAUGGUCUCAAGCAAACCCUCUCAAAAUGAGCUUAGGUGCUUGUGUGUAUUCCAUUUGGAGGGAAAGAAACAAUAGAUGCUCUCCAAUAAAAGUCAAACUAAGGAGAGGAUGGUUGAUAACAUUAAAAGGUUGGUAAGAGAAAAGGGGGAUGAAAUCUCUAAAAUAAAGCUCUCUAACAAAAAUGCUAUUAUUGCAAACAAGUGGAGCCUGCCUAAGACUAUCUUUGCUGAUGGUGAGCAAGAUAUUUCCUGCUGGGGUGUUCUUGUUGGGCCAGUGGGUCUUCUCCAAAGUGGAUAUGCAGCUUCACUUAGUUGGGAUGGGAGGAUCUCUUUUUUCUCUAACUUGGGUUCUGUUUUGCAGGUUCUCUCCUAGUAUUCUUCUAUCUAUUCUGCCAAGCCUCUUUUGCAGUACCCUUUCUUCCAUUCUGCUGGAAGAUCCUGUUAUGUUCUACUCCAAUGCUGCCAUCACCUCUUUAAGCAUUCUGCCCUUGCUGCUGUCAUACCUGAAGACUUCCCUUGUUGGCCUGCAGAUGCUGCCUUUUUUCUGCUCUUUUGCUGAGUUUUAGUUACUGCCUGCUAAUUCCUCAUUUGCUGCUGGAGUCUUCUGGUUGGACUGGCUCUGUCUCUGAAUUUCUUCGUUACUUGCUCCAGUUCUGCACAUAUCUGCCUUAAUCUGGGUUUGAGUUUCUGCUUGCUAUGGUCUUUUGUAAUUGCAGUGGUAGUUUCUGCAGUUUUAUGCUUUAUAGAAGAUGGUUCCAGCCUGCUAAGUUUUUCUGUUGCUCCUCUCCUCCAGUCAGUGUCCAAGUCAGAUUCAGUAUCAGCCACCUUGACUUCCUAGUCCUGCUGAUUUUUUCAAGAGUCCAGAUAUCUGCUUAUUUGGUUUUUCUGCCGUAGAAGAGUCCACUUUCCAAUUGACUGUUGCAACCAUCUCCAGGGUCUCUUUCUGCAAUCCCCACUAUCUUCCUUGUGGCAAGUCUUUUGUUGGCUCUUUUGACACAGCCAACAAAAGGAAAUUAUCCCCACUGGUCUGCCGCCCUAGUUCUCUCCUGCAGUUGGCUAGUUUCACCUUUGCGAUCCGCCUUGUGUCAAUCUAGACUGGCUUUUGGUUGGCGAUCCCCUUCUUGAUGCUUAGUCCAUAGCAUCCUUUGCUAUUGCAAUUUGGAACUCAUGGCUUCUUACCCAUUUGAAUUGUAUGGAUAUCUUUUUGUUCAAUUUUGAUUACCAUCUCAGGCUUACUAUUAGACUUGUGAAUUUAGACCUUGACUUGUGUCAUUUGUCUCACUUCUUGAACCCUAUAAAGUAGAUACCAUGAUAGACAUUCAAGAGGCGAAUGAUCACCAA